GAUCCUGGCUCAGAACGAACGCUGGCGGCAGGCCUAACACAUGCAAGUCGAACGCCGUAGCAAUACGGAGUGGCAGACGGGUGAGUAACGCGUGGGAACCUUCCCAAUGGUACGGAAUAGCCCAGGGAAACUUGGAGUAAUACCGUAUACGCCCGUAAGGGGAAAGAUUUAUCGCCAUUGGAUGGGCCCGCGUCGGAUUAGCUAGUUGGUGAGGUAACGGCUCACCAAGGCGACGAUCCGUAGCUGGUCUGAGAGGACGAUCAGCCACACUGGGACUGAGACACGGCCCAGACUCCUACGGGAGGCAGCAGUGGGGAAUAUUGGACAAUGGGCGCAAGCCUGAUCCAGCCAUGCCGCGUGAGUGAUGAAGGCCUUAGGGUUGUAAAGCUCUUUUGGCGGGGACGAUAAUGACGGUACCCGCAGAAUAAGCCCCGGCUAACUUCGUGCCAGCAGCCGCGGUAAUGCGAAGGGGGCUAGCGUUGUUCGGAAUCACUGGGCGUAAGCGCACGUAGGCGGA
rnacentral:rRNA from 1 species